rnacentral:rRNA from 1 species
GAUGAACGCUGGCGGCGUGCCUAAUACAUGCAAGUCGAGCGAACAGACGAGGAGCUUGCUCCUCUGACGUUAGCGGCGGACGGGUGAGUAACACGUGGAUAACCUACCUAUAAGACUGGGAUAACUUCGGGAAACCGGAGCUAAUACCGGAUAACAUAUUGAACCGCAUGGUUCAAUAGUGAAAGACGGUUUUGCUGUCACUUAUAGAUGGAUCCGCGCCGCAUUAGCUAGUUGGUAAGGUAACGGCUUACCAAGGCAACGAUGCGUAGCCGACCUGAGAGGGUGAUCGGCCACACUGGAACUGAGACACGGUCCAGACUCCUACGGGAGGCAGCAGUAGGGAAUCUUCCGCAAUGGGCGAAAGCCUGACGGAGCAACGCCGCGUGAGUGAAGAAGGUCUUCGGAUCGUAAAACUCUGUUAUUAGGGAAGAACAAAUGUGUAAGUAACUAUGCACGUCUUGACGGUACCUAAUCAGAAAGCCACGGCUAACUACGUG